rnacentral:rRNA from 1 species
GACGAACGCUGGCGGCGUGCUUAACACAUGCAAGUCGAGCGAUGAAGUUCCUUCGGGAAUGGAUUAGCGGCGGACGGGUGAGUAACACGUGGGUAACCUGCCUCAUAGAGGGGAAUAGCCUUUCGAAAGGAAGAUUAAUACCGCAUAAGAUUGUAGUACCGCAUGGUACAGCAAUUAAAGGAGUAAUCCGCUAUGAGAUGGACCCGCGUCGCAUUAGCUAGUUGGUGAGGUAACGGCUCACCAAGGCGACGAUGCGUAGCCGACCUGAGAGGGUGAUCGGCCACAUUGGGACUGAGACACGGCCCAGACUCCUACGGGAGGCAGCAGUGGGGAAUAUUGCACAAUGGGGGAAACCCUGAUGCAGCAACGCCGCGUGAGUGAUGACGGUCUUCGGAUUGUAAAGCUCUGUCUUCAGGGACGAUAAUGACGGUACCUGAGGAGGAAGCCACGGCUAACUACGUGCCAGCCGCCGCAGUAA